GUCGAACGCUGGCGGCGUGCCUAAUACAUGCAAGUCGAACGCAGUUGCGAACGGGUGAGUAACGCGUAGGUAACUGCCUAAUAGCGGGGGAUACCUAUUGGAAACGUUAGCUAUUACCGCAUACUGUGAGAUGGACCUGCGUUGUAUUCGGUAGUUGGUGGGGUAACGGCGCACCAAGGCGACGAUACAUAGCUGACCUGAGCGGGUGGUCGGCCAAACUGGGAACGGUAAACGGGCCAGACUCCUACGGGAGGCAGCAGGAGGGAAACUUCGGAAAUGGAGGGAAGGCUGACCGAGCAAAGGCGCAGGAGUGAAGAAGGUUUUCGGAUCGUAAAGCUCUGUUGUUAGAGAAGCGGUAACUAACCAGAAAGGGACGGCUAACUACGUGCCAGCAGCCGCGGUAAUUC
rnacentral:rRNA from 1 species